rnacentral:rRNA from 1 species
AGCAGUAGCCGCGGUAAAACGUAUGUCACAAGCGUUAUCCGGAUUUAUUGGGCGUAAAGCGCGUCUAGGCGGUUAAUUAAGUCUGAUGUGAAAAUGCGGAGCUCAACUCCGUAUUGCGUUGGAAACUGGUUAACUAGAGUACUGGAGAGGUAAGCGGAACUACAAGUGUAGAGGUGAAAUUCGUAGAUAUUUGUAGGAAUGCCGAUGGGGAAGCCAGCUUACUGGACAGAUACUGACGCUAAAGCGCGAAAGCGUGGGUAGCAAACAGGACUAGAUACCCCAGUAGUCCCUGUCUCUUAUACA